GUGAGGAAUAUUGGUCAAUGGGCGGGAGCCUGAACCAGCCAAGUCGCGUGAAGGAAGAAGGAUCUAUGGUUCGUAAACUUCUUUUGCAGGGGAAUAAAGUGCAGGACGUGUCCUGUUUUGUAUGUACCCUGAGAAUAAGGAUCGGCUAACUCCGUGCCAGCAGCCGCGGUAAUACGGAGGAUCCGAGCGUUAUCCGGAUUUAUUGGGUUUAAAGGGUGCGUAGGUGGUUUGAUAAGUCAGCGGUGAAAGUUUGCAGCUUAACUGUAAAAAUGCCGUUGAAACUGUCGGACUUGAGUGUAAAUGAGGUAGGCGGAAUGCGUGGUGUAGCGGUGAAAUGCAUAGAUAUCACGCAGAACUCCGAUUGCGAAGGCAGCUUACUAAGCUACAACUGACACUGAAGCACGAAAGCGUGGGGAUCAGACAGGAUUAGAAACCCCGGUAGUCC
rnacentral:rRNA from 1 species